rnacentral:rRNA from 1 species
UUACCGAACUGUCGACACGAGCUGUUGCUGGCCCCCACAAGGCGACACGUGCACGCUCUGUUUACACAUCCACUCACACCUGUGCACCCUCUGUAGUUCUAUGGCCUUGGGGACCCUGUCCCCUUGCUGUGGUCCUACGUCUUUACACACACACAUCGUAACAAAGUCUCAUGGAAUGUAUGUCGCGUUUAACGCAAUACAAUACAACUUUCAGCAACGGAUCUCUUGGCUCUCGCAUCGAUGAAGAACGCAGCGAAAUGCGAUAAGUAAUGUGAAUUGCAGAAUUCAGUGAAUCAUCGAAUCUUUGAACGCACCUUGCGCCCUUUGGCUAUUCUGAAGGGCAUGCCUGUUUGAGUAUCAUGAACACCUCAACUCUCAUGGUCUGCCAUGAUGAGCUUGGACUUUGGGGGUCUUGCCGGCCUAGCGUCGGCUCCUCUCAAAUGGAUCAGCUUCCCAGUGUUUGGUGGCGUCACAGGUGUGAUAACUAUCUACGCUUGUGGUUUCCUGCCAUUAACCUUCAGCAAUGGAGGUUCGCUGGAGCUCACAGAUGUCUCUCCUUGGGGAGGACAGCUUUUGAACGUCUGAUCUCAAAUCAGGUAGGACUACCCGCUGAACUUAA